GUGCUAGGUGUGUCUGAGCUCAAGUUCUCUUUGGGUGGGUCUUGCUGCAGCUGAGUAUUUGGGGUGUGUCCCAGGUUCUGCAGGAGCAGUCCCCUUCCUUCAUAGGGUCUGUGGGUCCUCUCAGGACUGCUGAUUUGUUCUUGCAGUCCAUCUGGAGCUAAAGUGAACAAUGUGAGCCUUCCAACGCUGCUCAGUUGGUCCAAGUCGGAGCUGCAAUCUAGUUCUGUUUCCCAUCCACCUCAUGUGAGAAUCUGCUUUCCCCCAUGUUUCUCUCCAGCCUCUUCCAGGCUUCCUACCCCACCACCCCCACAUCGCUGCUCAGCCUCUCUCCUUCCUAGUGGGAGCUGAGGAUCCUCAGACUCCAUCCAGCACUUCUUUGCUUCAGCAAUGGGUUCAUGUCAGCGGCAGCUGUGGUCCCAAAUUUUAUUUGGAUUUCAUUAGUUUUCCUUAAUGUCUUGUUCCUGUUCCAGAAUUUCAUCCAGCAUACCACAUUACAUUUAGUUGACAAAUCUCUUUAGAUUACUUUGUACUGUGACAGUUUCUCAGACUUUUUUCUGCUCUUUUAGCACUCUGAAAAUAAGGUCAUGAGGCCUAAAGGAUUAGAUUUAUGUGAGAAUAUCCUGUAUACCUUUGCUAGGACCUGGGGAACUGAGAUUCAUGAGCUUGCCCAGAACCAUACAACUUGAAGCAGAAUUCAGGUCUCCUGAAAUUUAGGUCAUAAUAUUUCCUGUGGUAGUAUAACAUUAGUCUGAGUUGCUCAUAAGCUGCCCAGAGAAAACAACAGAGUUUGGGACAACAAUGUCUUAAUAAAAUAAUCUAGAUGGAGGCUAGCAGUGAAGUUAGCCUCUGUAAUGGCCUGCACUCUGAUUACCAACACACAAAACCUUGGAUUUGACAUAAACCAAGAACCAUGUAAUCACAUGUCCACCAGUGAGGUCAAGCAGACAACUGAGCUGCAUAGGAUAGCACAGAGAAAUAAGAACCAGGAUGAAAUGGAGAGUCGUGUCCACCCAAAAUCUUUAAACUUCCAAUCUGUAACAGAUUUCAGAGUAAACGAAUCAAAUUGUUGAACUGAAUUCCCUUAUAGGCUGCUGGUUUGCAACCUUUGACUUCAAUGUCAAUUGAUAUACUACAAAUUUCAGUCCUAGAUUUAGGAGGAACUUCACAGUAUGAUGUGAUCCGGCAUUUUGCCUUUAGUCUAACUUUGUAUCAUCUCCAUUCUAGAUCUAAGGAAACCAGAGGCUGAAGAUGUGGAGUACAGGUACAAUGUCUCAUGACAAGUGGGUAAGAACUAGAAGAGAAGUCUUUGAAUUCCCUGCUUCAUGCUCUUUUGGGUGUUGGAAGAGCAUGAAACCUGAAGUUGGAAAGAGAUUCAAAAUAAUAGUGACACC
rnacentral:lncRNA from 1 species